GAAUUUAAUCCUUACCAAAGUUAUUACCGCUUAGCCUUGGGUCAAUUAUUCAUCCCAUCAAACCCAUACCAAUCAAUAACAUAGAGAAGUCAUGCUCAAAUAGGCUCUAAAACAAUCCAUAAACUAAUGUACCUCAAAUAAUGAUAGAAAUAGUUAAAUGGAGGAAUAAUGUGCCAAUCCCAUAGGCAAACCAACUAAUCUAAUCUCUACUAAUAUAGCAAAACGCAAUCAAGAGAUCAAAAGGGCUUUUAAUUAUUGUAAUGGGGCUAAGGGGUAAUAAUGUGGCUAACAAAGAAAAGGUAAAAGGAAGCAAAACAUGAGAAUAAUUAAA
rnacentral:misc_RNA from 1 species